rnacentral:rRNA from 1 species
GAGGGUGAUGCCUGCCCAAUGGUUGUAUCUAAAAGCGGUUGAUAAAAGUUGACCUCGUAAGGACAAUUGAAUGGCCGCGGUAACACUGACCGUGAUAAUGUAGCGUAAUCAAUAGCCAAUUAAUUGUUGGCCAGUAUGAAUGGCGCCACGAAGGCCCCACUGUCUUAAGGAAAUUCCCAGUGAAAUUGAAUUCGUAGUGAAGAUGCUACGUCCAAUUUGUUAGACGAAAAGACCCCGUUGAGCUUUACUGGAGCACUUACAUGGCCCCGGCCUUCCCAUGCCUGGGAACCGGCCGAAUUUAAAUGGGCGGCUUAGAUUAUGUGGCAGCCCCCCGCUGGGGCAAAUGAAACACCACUCCCCCAUGUCAAAGGGGCUAACCCCCCCCCUUGGGGGGACAGUGUAAGUAGGACAGUUUGGUUGGGGCGACCACCUUUUAAAAAGUAACGAAGGUGCGCUUAAGGUGCGCAAUUAAUGACUGAAGCCUGACUGCGAGGGGGACACCCCGAGCAGACACCCCAAAGCCCGCCCG